rnacentral:rRNA from 1 species
UACGUAGGGUGCAAGCGUUAUCCGGAAUUAUUGGGCGUAAAGAGCUCGUAGGCGGUUUGUCGCGUCUGCUGUGAAAACCCGAGGCUCAACCUCGGGCCUGCAGUGGGUACGGGGCAGACUAGAGUGCGGUAGGGGAGAUUGGAAUUCCUGGUGUAGCGGUGGAAUGCGCAGAUAUCAGGAGGAACACCGGUGGCGAAGGCGGGUCUCUGGGCCGUUACUGACGCUGAGGAGCGAAAGCGUGGGGAGCGAACAGG